GCUUGUCUCAAAGAUUAAGCCAUGCAUGUCUAAGUAUAAACAAAUUUGUACUGUGAAACUGCGAAUGGCUCAUUAAAUCAGUUAAAGUUUAUUUGAUAGUACCUUACUACUUGGAUAACCGUAGUAAUUCUAGAGCUAAUACAUGCGAAAAGACCCGACUUUUUGGAAGGGUUGUAUUUAUUAGAUACAAAACCAAUGCGGAGCAAUCCGGUUUGUGGUGAUUCAUAAUAACUUAACGAAUCGCAUGGCCUUGCGCCGGCGAUGGUUCAUUCAAAUUUCUGCCCUAUCAACUUUCGAUGGUAAGAUAGUGGCUUACCAUGGUCUCAACGGGUAACGGGGAAUUAGGGUUCUAUUCCGGAGAGGGAGCCUGAGAAACGGCUACCACAUCCAAGGAAGGCAGCAGG
rnacentral:rRNA from 1 species